UAAGCAUAGGCAACUGAUCUAGUGAUCAGCCUUGGCCUGGGAUCCAACCAAGUUUUAAUCAGACAAGGAGAUAAGGCAAGCAGGACCAAAAUGAAGGUUGUCAUGGGAGUUAUCUGCCAUUUCAUUGAAAUCAAUUAAGAUAAGGCAAGCAGGACCAAAAUGAAGGUUGUCAUGGGAGUUAUCUGCCAUUUCAUUGAAAUCAAUUAUAACACAAAUUAAUCAGUACAGUAGCCAUAGACAAAAAGAAAACGGCAUCUCAUCAAUUGAUAAAUAUCAACAAGCAUCCUUGCUGAUAUCUAACCAUAACACCUUCCCACAGUGCUGAGCUUACAUGACUAUCAAAGGGAUAACAGAUUGGAGAUCGCUUUCUUUUUUUUGUUUUGAGUUUU
rnacentral:lncRNA from 1 species